CUGCGAGUGAAGCGGGAAAAGCUCAAAUUUAAAAUCUGGCGGUCUUUGGCCGUCCGAGUUGUAAUCUAGAGAAGUGUUAUCCGCGCUGGACCGUGUACAAGUCUCCUGGAAUGGAGCGUCAUAGAGGGUGAGAAUCCCGUCUUUGACACGGACUGCCAGGGCUUUGUGAUGCGCUCUCAAAGAGUCGAGUUGUUUGGGAAUGCAGCUCAAAAUGGGUGGUAAAUUCCAUCUAAAGCUAAAUAUUGGCGAGAGACCGAUAGCGAACAAGUACCGUGAGGGAAAGAUGAAAAGAACUUUGGAAAGAGAGUUAAACAGUACGUGAAAUUGCUGAAAGGGAAACGCUUGAAGUCAGUCGCGUUGGCCGGGAAUCAACCUUGCUUUUGCUGGGCGUACUUUCCGGUCGACGGGUCAACAUCAAUUUUGACCGUUGGAUAAAGGCUUAGGGAAUGUGGCUUCUUCGGGAGUGUUAUAGCCCUGGGUCGCAUACAACGGUUGGGAUUGAGGAACUCAGCACGCCGCAAGGCCGGGUACUUGUACCACGUUCGUGCUUAGGAUGUUGGCAUAAUGGCUUUAAUCGACCCGUCUUGAAACACGGACCAAGGAGUCUAACAUGCCUGCGAGUGUUUGGGUGGAAAACCCGAGCGCGUAAUGAAAGUGAAAGUUGAGAUCCCUGUCGUGGGGAGCAUCGACGCCCGGACCAGAACUUUUGGGACGGAUCCGCGGUAGAGCAUGUAUGUUGGGACCCGAAAGAUGGUGAACUAUGCCUGAAUAGGGUGAAGCCAGAGGAAACUCUGGUGGAGGCUCGUAGCGAUUCUGACGUGCAAAUCGAUCGUCAAAUUUGGG
rnacentral:rRNA from 1 species